AUGGCCACGUGGCUCCUCUACUGUGUGGUCCUUGGUCUCCUGGGAGCAGGCUUUUCUGAUGAUGAAGUUACCCAGAUACCAAGACAUCUGGUCACAUGGAAAGGACAGAAAGCAAAGAUGACCUGUGCCCCAAAAAAAGGACACAGUUAUGUUUACUGGUAUCAGCAAAAGAAGAGUGAAGAGUUGAAGUUUAUGGUACGUUUUCAGAACGAAGAUAACAUUGAAGAAACAGAUGAGUUCAAGGCAAGAUUCUCAGCUGCAUGUCCCAAAAACUCUAACUGCCAAUUGGAAACCAAGUCGUCUGACCUCGAAGACUCAGCAUUGUACUUCUGUGCUAGCAGUCAGUCCACAAUGCUGAAAUCUUCAUUCCUCUAA